CUGGCUGCAAAAAGAAAGCAAAAUCUGUGAGGAGGUGCCAGGAAGUGGUAGCUCCUGCCAGCGCUUCACACACAUAGCUCUCUCACCUCGAAGCCACUCACAGACGUGAAAUGGUUUCUCCAAUCCUGCCACGAGUUGCAGGCUGCACCAAAGCCCAGUGGCAACUCAUGAUGCUACAGUUUUUAACAACCCUGAUCAGCUUACUGUCCUGCACCCUGCAGCCUCGUGUUUCAUCUCACUUUUCUGCAACAUGCCAGCAGGUCCCACUAAGGAAAAAGAAGCUUCUGAGAAGAGGAAGGCACGCUGAGGAAGCAGGGGAGUCGUCACACAGAUGCAGGGUCACUAAGGUUCAAGUACAACAUCCAGACCAUCCUGCCAUCUCAAGAUCAAUAGUAACACGAUGCUGAGAUUGACAUCCAGGUAGAGAAAACAAACCGAUCAGAAAGAUUAAGUGAUUCCUCAAGAAAUGAGGAGGCUAGUCAAUGGUGAGAAAGUCUGCAUGCCACAUCGCAAAGCAGAUGCUGAUUCGAGGCCUCCUUCCCCAUUUGGAGACUGAGCUACAGGCCUGGCCCCACCCCUCACUAGUUAUGUGACAGUCCUUGAACUUUUCCA